rnacentral:lncRNA from 1 species
AAGGAGCUCAAAAUAGCCUCAUCGCUCUGCCCUUUUCAGUCUCUGGAGGAAACUGAGGCUUGACUAAGGGGCUCGCAGUGGCAAAGCUAGGCUAGGACUUGGAGGCUUCUGGCAGGCGAGGCGGGUGGAGGAGGAAGGAGGCUGACGGAUCCACUGGGGGGAAGAAAAGCCGAACUGGAUUCACCGUGUCCUGGAUGGAAAAGGAGGAGGAGGAGGAGGAGGAGGAGGAGGAGGAGGAGGAGGAGGAGGAGGAGGACGAGGAGGAGGACGAGGAGGAGGAGGAGGACGAGGACGAGGACGAGGACAAGGACGAGGACGAGGACAGAGAGAGGGGAAACGCGGAGCUCCUUCAACUCGCGUUGUCCGGUGAGAAGUAAGCAAGCAGGAACUGACAGGAGGCUCCGGGAGCCCUCGCCUCCUUUCGCUUUUUUACCUGCCAAUCAAACCGCUAGAAGACAACACCCUGAUCUGGCAUGGACAUACUACAGGACCUACAAGAUCCAGGGAUGA